UCAGGACGAACGCUGGCGGCGUGCCUAACACAUGCAAGUCGAGCGAGGAGAUCCUUCGGGAUGAUCCUAGCGGCGGACGGGUGAGUAACGACGUGGGCAACCUGCCUCAUAGAGAGGAAUAGCCUUCCGAAAGGGAGAUUAAUACCUCAUAACAUUGCAGUUUCGCAUGGAACAGCAAUUAAAGGAGUAAUACCGCUAUGAGGAUGGGCCCGCGGCGCAUUAGCUAGUUGGUGAGGUAACGGCUCACCAAGGCGACGAUGCGUAGCCGACCUGAGAGGGUGAUCGGCCACAUUGGGACUGAGACACGGCCCAGACUCCUACGGGAGGCAGCAGUGGGGAAUAUUGCACAAUGGGGGAAACCCUGAUGCCAGCAACGCCGCGUGAGUGAUGACGGCCUUCGGGUUGUAAAGCUCUGUCUUCAGGGAACGAUAAUGACGGUACCUGAGGAGGAAGCCACGGCUAACUACGUGCCAGCCGCCGC
rnacentral:rRNA from 1 species